GAUGAACGCUGGCGGCGUGCCUAAUACAUGCAAGUCGAACGAAACUUCUUUAUCACCGAGUGCUUGCACUCACCGAUAAAGAGUUGAGUGGCGAACGGGUGAGUAACACGUGGGCAACCUGCCCAAAAGAGGGGGAUAACACUUGGAAACAGGUGCUAAUACCGCAUAACCAUAGUUACCGCAUGGUAACUAUGUAAAAGGUGGCUAUACUACCGCUUUUGGAUGGGCCCGCGGCGCAUUAGCUAGUUGGUAGGGUAAAGGCUUACCAAGGCAAUGAUGCGUAGCCGAAUUGAGAGGUUGAUCGGCCACAUUGGGACUGAGACACGGCCCAAACUCCUACGGGAGGCAGCAGUAGGGAAUCUUCCACAAUGGGCGAAAGCCUGAUGGAGCAACGCCGCGUGGGUGAAGAAGGUCUUCGGAUCGUAAAACCCUGUUGUUAGAGAGGAAAGUGCGUGAGAGUAACUGUUCACGUUUCGACGGUAUCUAACCAGAAAGCCACGGCUAACUACGUG
rnacentral:rRNA from 1 species